rnacentral:rRNA from 1 species
GACGAACGCUGGCGGCGUGCCUAAUACAUGCAAGUAGAACGCUGAAGGAGGAGCUUGCUUCUCUGGAUGAGUUGCGAACGGGUGAGUAACGCGUAGGUAACCUGCCUGGUAGCGGGGGAUAACUAUUGGAAACGAUAGCUAAUACCGCAUAAGAGUAGAUGUCGCAUGACAUUUUGCUUAAAAGGUGCAAUUGCAUCACUACCAGAUGGACCUGCGUUGUAUUAGCUAGUUGGUGAGGUAACGGCUCACCAAGGCAACGAUACAUAGCCGACCUGAGAGGGUGAUCGGCCACACUGGGACUGAGACACGGCCCAGACUCCUACGGGAGGCAGCAGUAGGGAAUCUUCGGCAAUGGACGGAAGUCUGACCGAGCAACGCCGCGUGAGUGAAGAAGGUUUUCGGAUCGUAAAGCUCUGUUGUAAGAGAAGAACGAGUGUGAGAGUGGAAAGUUCACACUGUGACGGUAUCUUACCAGAAAGGGACGGCUAACUACGUG